GGAUGACGUCAAAUCAUCAUGCCCCUUAUGAUUUGGGCUACACACGUGCUACAAUGGACAAUACAAAGGGCAGCGAAACCGUGAGGUCAAGCAAAUCCCAUAAAGUUGUUCUCAGUUCGGAUUGUAGUCUGCAACUCGACUACAUGAAGCUGGAAUCGCUAGUAAUCGUAGAUCAGCAUGCUACGGUGAAUACGUUCCCGGGUCUUGUACACACCGCCCGUCACACCACGAGAGUUUGUAACACCCGAAGCCGGUGGAGUAACCUUUUAGGAGCUAGCCGUCGAAGGUGGGACAAAUGAUUGGGGUGAAGUCGUAACAAGGUAGCCGUAUCGGAAGGUGCGGCUGGAUCACCUCCUUU
rnacentral:rRNA from 1 species